rnacentral:rRNA from 1 species
AGAGUUUGAUCAUGGCUCAGGAUAAACGCUGGCGGCGCACAUAAGACAUGCAAGUCGAACGGACAGAAGCUCAUUCUUUAAGAUUGAGUGAAAGUUAGUGGCGGACUGGUGAGUAACGCGUAAGGAAUCUGCCUUUUAGAGGGGAACAACAAUGAGAAAUCAUUGCUAAUACCGCAUAUGCCAUAAGCACUGCAUGGUGCAAGUGGGAAAGGAGUAAUCCGCUAAAAGAUGACCUUGCGUCUGAUUAGAUAGUUGGUAGGGUAAAGGCCUACCAAGUCGACGAUCAGUAGCCGGACUGAGAGGUUGAACGGCCACAUUGGGACUGAGAUACGGCCCAGACUCCUACGGGAGGCAGCAGUCGGGAAUAUUGCGCAAUGGAGGGAACUCUGACGCAGUGACGCCGCGUAUAGGAAGAAGGUUUUCGGAUUGUAAACUAUUGUCGUUAGGGAAGAGAAAGGACAGUACCUAAGGAGGAAGCUCCGGCUAACUACGUGCCAGCAGCCGCGGUAAUACGUAGGGAGCGAGCGUUAUCCGGAAUUAUUGGGUGUAAAGGGUGCGCAGACGGGUAAGCAAGUUAGUUGUGAAAUCCCUCGGCUCAACUGAGGAACUGCAACUAAAACUACGGAUCUUGAGUGCAGGAGAGGUAAGUGGAAUUCCUAGUGUAGCGGUGAAAUGCGUAGAUAUUAGGAGGAAUACCAGUGGCGAAGGCGACUUACUGGACUGUAACUGACGUUGAGGCACGAAAGUGUGGGGAGCAAACAGGAUUAGAUACCCUGGUAGUCCACACUGUAAACGAUGGA